rnacentral:SRP_RNA from 1 species
GCUGGGUGUGGUGGCGUGUGCCUGUAGUCCGAGCUACUCGGAAGGCUGAGAUGGGAGGAUUGCCUGAGCCUAGGAGGUUGAGGCUGCAGUGAGCCGAGAUCAUGCCACUGCACUCCAGCCUGGGCAACAGAGCAAGACCCUGUCUCAA